AUCCGCCCAGGGGCCGGGCCCAAGGCCAGGGGAGCUUAGGGCUGGGAGGAGGAGGAGGAGGAGGAGGCUCGAGCCCAAGCCCUCCCUCGGACUGACUGGACACCUCCAGGAGGCGCGCCGGCCAGGGUCGGAAUGAGAAGACAGCGCGACCGUCCCCUCCCCCAACCCCUGAGAACUAAGCUGGAGGCGGGGGCGCGAGGCAGGAAGCACCGGGCCGGGGUCCCGACCCCGCAGAGGGCCGACCGGCCGGCCGGCGCGGGCCGCCAGGGGCCGCACUCACCAUGUCGUAGACGUUGAGCACCACUAACUGGAGGCUUGUGAAGAGGCUCAAUAAUAAACUGCCUAUAAAUCUUCGAAUACCAGAAAUAGCUCAGAACGAGGAUGCUGAUGAACGUGAGCAUCAGGACAAAAAUCAAGGCAGCCACCAGGCAGGGCCCAAGACACUGUUCGUGACAGCCCUGAGACGCGUAUCAGUGUCUGAAGCCAAGUAGAGUCCCAAGGUCUCAGGAAGGGGAUGCUGCCAUAGGAAUGGGCUCUUCCAUAUUGUUGAGGAUGAAGCAAAAGUCGAAUGGAUUUAUACUUAGAGGAAGAAAGUAUGGUUACCAUCAGAGAAAAUGCUGCAGAGUAAAUGACUGGCCUAAGGAUCGCUGAUGGCGGCGCCUCUUUGUCUCUCAUGACAAGGGUUGGUGUUGAAGCAGAGUGGUGGGCUACUCACUCACCUAGCACGUGAGGCCUCAGCUCAGUUCCAGUGGUGCAUAGAAAUAAACAAAUGAAGUUAAAUAAAUAAAAUCGACAGAGUAUACCCGAAACAGGACCUCACAGGAAGAGGCAUAAAGGGGACAUGGCCAAGCAUGUGGCAUGGAGGGUUUACUUUCUGGACUGAUGUAUUUGUCCAAAAGGAGACAAAGGUCUGCCAGGGCCUGCCCUCUGCCAAAGUCACCCAUCCCUGGAGAAAGUCUGUUCCAAAGGCUAGUGACCCAGAGGCACAAAGACCUUGUCUCUUUCUCAGAACAGUUCUGCCGGGCAGGCCUGCUCCAGUGUCCCUGUGAAGUCAACUGAAGGCUUCACUGGGGCUGGAGUUACCUGCCUCCUCUUCUCCCCAUUUUGACUUCCUCUACUCCUUUGAGGACAUUUUUGGUAUUCACCUGUUGUUCCAAUAAAGCUUCACUUCACUCUUUGAA